rnacentral:rRNA from 1 species
GCCUUAUUAGAUACCCUGGUAGUCCACGCAGUAAACGAUGAAUGCUAGCUGUCCGGGGCGAAUGAGUUCUGGGUGGCACAGCGAAAGCGUUAAGCAUCCCACCUGGGGAGUACGCCGGCAACGGUGAAACUCAAAGGAAUUGACGGGGGCCCGCACAAGCGGAGGAACAUGUGGUUUAAUUCGAUGAUACGCGAGGAACCUUACCCGGGCUCAAACGGCACAGUGAUACUUUUGAAAGGAGGUAGCUCUACGGAGACUGUGCCGAGGUGCUGCAUGGUUGUCGUCAGCUCGUGCCGUGAGGUGUCGGCUUAAGUGCCAUAACGAGCGCAACCCCUAUUGUCAGUUGCCAGCAGGUAAAGCUGGGGACUCUGACGAGACUGCCGGCGCAAGCUGAGAGGAAGGCGGGGAUGACGUCAAAUCAGCACGGCCCUUACGUCCGGGGCGACACACGUGUUACAAUGGCAGGCACAGCGGGAAGCCACCCGGCGACGGGGAGCGGAACCCGAAAGCCUGUCUCAGUUCGGAUCGGAGUCUGCAACUCGACUCCGUGAAGCUGGAUUCGCUAGUAAUCGCGCAUCAGCCAUGGCGCGGUGAAUACGUUCCCGGGCCUUGUACACACCGCCCGUCAAGCCAUGGAAGCCGGGAGCGCCUGAAGCGCGUGACCGCGAGGAGCGCGCUAAGGUGAUACCGGUGACUGGGGCUAAGUCGUAACAAGGUACC